UUUUUUUUUUUUUUGGGGUAAUGACGUAGAACUUGGAAUUCUAGGUUAUUUGAUUAACUUAUAGUAAGGAAUGCUUAUAGAAGAGAUGCCGCAUUUAGGUAGACGUGUCAAUUAUGGAUGGUUGGUAGCCCAUACAUUUGUAGAGCUACAGUUAUGAAAGUUAAUGUGAGUGCAUUUUUCAUUGUGUUUUGAUGUGUUAUCUUUUUCUUAUGAAGUUGCUUCUGCACCUCCACCUGCUCCUAUGCAAGCUGGAUCUCCUAUGGGAGGAGGAAUUGGUGCUGCAGUUGCUGAAGGUCAGUGCCUAGUUGCAUAGUUGGGCAGCUUCUAGUAUACUCCAGGAGUUAUAGGAGGAGUUAUAAACUGAGCUAUAUUGAAUUGUUUGUUGACUUGCAGGCUUGGCAUUUGGUGGUGGCAGUGCCAUUGCACAUAGGGCUGUAGAUGCUGUUGCGGGUCCUCGGACCAUAAGACACGAGACAGUGGCCUCCCCAGCCUCUGCCCCUGCCCCUGACUCAGCAACCAUGGCAACAGGCAGCAGUCUUGGAGUUUCUGAUGCAUGUGGCAUUCAUAUGAAGGCCUUCCAAGAUGUGCGUACUGCUUUCACAGCUUUUGCAGUGAACUGAGUUUGUUUAAAUCCUUGUGCCUAUUGAGUUUUUUCCUUGGGUUUGCGAAUUGUUCAUGUCUAUUUCUUGGCCUGUGCUUAUACUCUUGAGACCAUUUUCUGUUCUCCUACUGGUCUAGGUAUUGUCCUGUCUGUUAGUGCAUAUAAGGCUGGUGCACCUGUGGUUGCUUGUUCUUGUAGCACAGGCACUUGUUGAGUCUUUUUGGCUGCUUUAGGAUUAAUCUAACUGUUUUGCUGCAAAUUGGGCUGAAAAAUUUAUCUUUUUAUGGCUGAGUUUCUGUGUGGGACUAUGUUAAUAAAAAUUCCAAAUUGUUAUUUAUCUUUUGCAGUGUUUGAACACCUAUGGGAGUGAUAUCAGCAAGUGCCAGUUCUACAUGGAUAUGCUGUCUGAUUGCCGCAAGAACUCUGGCGCUGGUCUGACUGCUUGAUGCCAUCCCUGGUAUUUUACUUCAUUUGUUCUAACUGGUGGCCCAAACUAAGUCUUUUAUGGUUCUGCUUCUAGAUGAUAAUAAUAGUGUGUAUUUGGGAGAUAUCACUGGUAGUAACGUAGUCUUUUGAUGCGCAGCCAAUGCUUGAUAUGGUUGUUGGACGUGUGAUGUUAUCCAUCAUAAAAUGACGUCGCUUUGACCUUCAUUGUUAUUGUUCUUUUCAUUAUAUUUAAUCUUUGAUGUCAAGGUAGAUUUUGAGGAGGCGGAGGCGAUUUUGAACUUGAAGAUUAUACCCUCCUCUUUUUUAUCUGUUUUUCCUUGUGAUUCAACGCUUUGAUUAGGCGUGCGGUCUGGAGUUGCAAGACAUCAAUUGUGCUGGACAAUGUCAAACUUAGCACACCACAUUCCACAGAUGUCUUGUUCUGAAAAUUUUCACACAGCUGAGGACGUAAUUGCGGUCUAACAUGUACGAAUAGCGUUAGAAAAAAAAAAAUUUUUUUGUCACAACGAUAGAAUUUUUAUGCCGCUAACGACUAACAGAGCGCUUGUAAUCUGUCCAAACUCCAAACUCGAGAUGUUACGAUUUGUUUCACCAACCAUUAUAUUUGUACUAAAAAAGAUGCAUAUUUUUGCCUCCUUAGAUGAAUUAUUGACUGUAGGAACGGAAUUCUGGCAAUUUUUUCAUGGCUGCAGGUCAUUUGGCGGACAAGUGCGUGAAUCUCCCUUAUUUGCAAAAAUUUAUUUGCUUACAUCGUCUACAUGAUUUUUUAUUAUUUUUUUGUUUCACAUACAUAUUAUAUCAAAAAGUCGUGAUAGAAUUUUUCUAAAACAUUAUUAUCUCCAAACCCAAUUAUGUCAUUUACGUCGGAGAGAGAGGCUCGAAUAAGUUUAUUUUAACUAUUCCUUAUUGAACUUUCCCAACCCAAUUUUGAUACUCAAAUUUCAUUUCUGUAUUUUUAUGCUCAAGUCAGAGACGGGUUUAGUAAGUGAACGUGAGCUUAGAAGGAUGGGAUAGCAUAUCUCCAAAAGAGCAAAUAAGGGGUAUUUAUGCUAGAGAACGUGAGAGAGGAGUAAUGAGGGCCAGAAGGAUAACCUGUGAUAAAUUAGCCUGUGAUAUAUGGACAAGGGGCACAAACAGGCUGCAGGUAUUUCAUGGCUGCAGGUCAAUUUUUUCAUGGCUGCGGUGCAAUCGUUUCUGCCGGUUGUAUUCAUUUUUCACUGUGCAUAACUUUCAUGGCAUACGGUGUAACUUUUUUUGCACACGACGUAAUUUUGCAACACUUUUUUAUGGGCCCCACACAUGACGUGAAAAUCGAGUUACAAGACGUGAUCUGAGCCGCACAAAAUUUUUUAAUCAAAUCAUGGCCGACAAUUGUCAGGAACGGUUGUCUCUGCCCCAUUUCCAUGAUAUAUCGACGGUGUCAGACUUAGACCUAAACCUUAGGGUGCUGGGCAUUGCCUGCCGCCCUAUCAAUCAAAUCAUUAGCGCAUUAAGGUUAAACCUCGGUUGAUCAGGACCUUGACUAAAUGUUGAAGACGUUGAUGCAUAAGGUGGGGGUCAAGUCGAGAUGAUUGCCGUCACAAUGACCAAGAUUAGCCCAAUGUACAACUCUUUGGUUUCUCACUCCAAGUUCCUUUGACCUAUGUUCCGGUCACAAUCUUUUGUAUAGAUUGCAAAUUAGUCGAGUUUUGGUCUAAUCAAAUCCAGUCUCGAUUCAAUUUUAUUAAUCUCAAGCUCGACCCCAAUUUCAACGAGUUUUUAAAGUAAAAUUCGAGUUUGAAUUCGACCUUAAAUUUGAACUGAAUUGAGCUCAAUGUCGAGCCUAUUUAAGUUUAAAAAAAUAAUUAUUUUGCUUUUUAAAAAAAUGAAUAAAAUGGCAAUUUUUUCUUAACAAAUAAUAAAAUAUUAGAAUUAUAUAUGUAAUUUCAUUAUUAAAUAUAUAUGUGUGUAUGUGUGUGUAUAUAUGUACAUGUAUGUAUAUAUAUGUGUGUGUGUGUGUGUGUAUAUAUAUAUAUAUAUAUAUGUAACUAGAGUUUGAGUCAAGUUUUGGCAGAAUCGGCUCACGAGCAUAUACACGAGUGGCUUGAUUCGUUUGUAAUCUUAUUCCUAGAUAGCUCAAAAAGAAAAAUUGAGACUCAAAAUCCGCUGUAGUUUGUAAUUUUCGGUGGCCUAAUAGUAUUGUAGAUGAACCAUGGGGGUUUGUCAGGUAAACAACCAUUUUAUUUUGCUGAGGCUAGCGAGCCAUGAGUAAACGACUGCUGUUCUAACAAGUUUAUCAGGCCUCUACUCUAUAAAAAAGCUUCCAACUGUUAGGUUCAUGAGUAAGGUGUUGUGUCUCACAUCGGUCCGAGAAAUGAAGAAAGAGCGGUUAAUAUGUAAGUAAGGGCUCAAGACCUAAUAGCUUAAGGUUUUGGAUCAGAGUUGGGUUCCUAAUUUAUAUAUUGGGCUCUUUGGUAGACUCUCUCGAGAUGUUUCUCCCUAACACCAACGACUGCUGUUCAGCAAAAGAGAAACAAGCAAUUGGGGAAUUUUUUUCUGAGGUAAAAACUUGUUAGCCUUUUCCUUUAAAUUCUCGGUAUUACCUUUGAUCAUUCAAAGUUGAUAAUAACUGAUUAUGUGUGAACAUCUAUGUAUAGUUUGUAAUUCAAGAUUUCUAUAAUUUAUAGUGCUUAAAUUUCAUUUUUUUUUCAAUCUUUUGCUGAAAUUCAAGAUUUCUAUAACAUUUUUGCUUGUGUUUUGGGCAUUUUAGUGUGCCUUUUUACUUUUUUUUUUCUUCAGCGGGGGAGGGACGGGAUUGGGGGAUUUGAUUGCUUGGAUUAUAGCUUUGUCAUCGCAACAGAAACCUGACAACAUCUAAGGGAAAGAAUUUUUAUUUAAUUGAAUGGAUUAUGGGCUAAUUUCUUCAACAAAAGCAACAUUUUUUGCUGCUUCUAUCUAUGCUACUAAAAAUGGGAUACCCGUGCGCCUCUGGGAACUGUAAGGACUGAGCGAGCUGCUUUCCCUGUUCAACCAUUUUCCACUUUCUUUCGCCUGUGCUGUCACUAUGUUUUGCAUGGAGGAGAGGAUCCUGCUCAAGCAUAUGGACUAAUACAAGCCAUACUCUUGUAACUUCACCUUGAUGUUAAGGAUGAUCCAACAAAUUACAAUAAUGAUACUAUGAAGAUAUGCAAUUCGUGUACCUUCUUGUAAACAUUGAUAUUUCUCGGCCAAAAAUAAAUGCAAGAAAAUUCAUGUUGUUUUAAUCUUAGUACUUUCUGUUCAUCUUGAAUAGAGGUGUCAAUCACAGUUCAAUUAUGUUGAUUCGUCCGAAUCCGCCCACUAAUAACUCGUCCAAAUCCAUCCAUUUAUUUUGAAUGGGUCUAAAUGAGCACCCAAUUAAACCCAUUUAAUUGGAGGAUAGUGGGUUGAUUUGACUCAACUAUUUAAAAAUAAUUAUACAUAUAAACUCAACUUUUAGUGAGUGUUAAGCAAAUAAUUUUGAAUUUUUUUUAUCAAUUUAAUAACAAUAAAAUACUGUUAUUGUCUAUCAAAUAACAUGCAAAAAAAUAAAUAGAAUUUUAAGUGGCUCAUAAAUGGGUAAUUGAGUAUAUCCAUACCUAUUUAUUAAAUGGACAUAAAUAGAUUGAUCUAAUUAUACUCAUUAUUCAAUCAUGACCCAUUGACGCUCGUCCAAAUCACCUAUUUUGACACGUCUAAUCUCGACGUUGAUGGAAUGGAUGUUCAAUCGACACUUGUUGAAAGGCCUCAAAAUGGCGCUGAAUAAAAAAGAACAGUGUCUAGCUACAAAUGAAUAAGAAAUGUGAGUUUGUGCACUCAUUAAAGAAAACAAAAAAAAACCUUUAUAUUUUGUGUUUCUGCCUGAAUUCAGGAAACAAAUAAUACAUCCAAGUGUAAUUGUGCAUCAGUUCAGUUGCAUAUAUAAGAAUGGUAAUAGCAUCUGCAGCAACUAUUCCGGCCUUCUUUGUAACAUAAAGAAUCAAGAAAGCUGUCUCCAUGGAAGUUUAUACACAAAGUUCGACACUGAGCUUGGCCAAUACUGCCACCAAUGGUUGCGCAGUCAUCAUUAAACCGAAUUACGCAUUUUUGGUCAUCCGCAAAAGCAAAAGGAAUUGAUCUCCCAACUGCAUUUUCAAAAAAAAAAAAAAAGAUAUCUUUUGGAUUUAACAUAAACAAAAAUAAAUCACUAAAGAAAAGGAAAACUAAAAAGAGAAAUUCAUCACUUCUUUCGCAGGUAAAGAUAAUCAAAAGAGUUAUUAAGAUUAAAAAAAAAAGAUGUACCUGGGGCAAGAAACAUAAAGGCGACAGCAAACAAAAAGGUGAUAGUAAACAGUUUUGCCAUUUCCAAAUCUGAAUAGAACUGAAAUUUUUUUUUUUUUUUGGUCUAUUAGCUCUCAUAUUUAUAUUCAGCAACCUGUAAUCUUAAAAUGUCAUGUUAUGAAUGUAGAUUUUCAUGUUUAUGAAAUUAGCUGUUGUAUACAAGGAAAAGAUAUAAUCUUGAUGUUUCUUGCUUCGGUGUUUUUAUGAAUAUUUAUGAAAAUUGAGCAAAAUGCGAUUCUAAUGAAUGCUUUAAAAUUUUCAACCCAUUUGGUCCAUCAGAAUUCAUUAAUGUCGAUAAUAUAUAUUGAAAGAAAUCCAAAAUCCGCCUCCAAAAUAUUUCCAUUCCCCAGUUAUUCACGCCUCAGUAUAUGGAAAGAAAUCCAAAAUCUGUCUCCAAAAUAUGUCCAUUCAUAAGUUAUUCAAGUCAUAUGCAGUAAGUAUGGUAAGUAAAGUAAGGGAGCAAGUGGGAACGCAACUGUGUGUGUGUGUGCGUGUUAUUUAUGGUUGUUGGUGGAUAAGGAAAAUUAUGGAGUGGUCAAAAGUCAUUGGUGAGCCUUUGACUAUAGUUUUGGUGUUUCCCCUCCUCCUUUCCCUCUAUCCCACAUCGAUUGUGAGUGGUGUGUGUGUACUAUUUAAGGUCUUCAGUAUAGCCUGAAAGUCAGCAUGUCUUUUGGGUUGGAUUGUGGGUUUCCUUUAAAUAGUGUGUGUGUGUGUAUUAUUUAUGGUUGUUGGUGGAACGCCACCGAUUCCCUGUGAGAGCCACUAUUGAUUCUCCAGAGGAAAGUCAUAUGCAGUAUGAAAUUUUAAUCUAUUAAUACGUUUGCUAUUGACCUGGCCUAUUAUAUAUAUAUAUAUAUAUAUAUUAAUAAUUAUUAUUCUUUAUUAUAUUUAUAUAUUUUUUCUAUUUAAUCUUGUUAUUUCAAAAAUAUAACAUCUGAAAUAUAUUUUAACGAGUGCCCGUUAGACAAAUCGAAUUUUUUUUAAAAAAACCUGGUAUAAGAGGAAAUACUUCCCAAAUAUAGUAACAUUUGUGCAUAUCCUCGGUACAAACGGGGUAUUGCACAAUGCUACUUAAAAAAUCACAAAUUUUUCAAACAUGAUUAAAAUGAGAGCACUAUUCAUAAGCUUGCUCUAACGUCAAAUUCCCCAUAAUGUUGAUAUUUAGCUUUUGCACUUUUGCCUAGGGACGUGAACAAGUCUAAUCAAGUUGAACACUAUACUGUUUAAAUUUAUUUGAUUAUUUUAAUGAGAUUAAAAUUUUGUUCAAAUUUAGGUUAUUUAUAUGCUGAACCGAGAUCAAACAAGUUUUUGUCGAGUCGAAUUCAAGUCGAGUUCGAGUAAUUUGAAAUUUUUAUAUAGCCAAUUUUAUACUAAUCGAACCAAACUCGAGUCAAGUUUGCAAAUUUAUCGAAUAUAACAUAUUGUUAAAACUUGAUUUGAUUUGUUAGCGAAUUAAUUUCAUACAAGUUCUUAUCAAGCUGAGUUUUAUUAAGCAUUGAAUAGUUUGAUUUAUUUUUCAACCUUAAUUUUGUUAAGUUAUUUGUAUUUAUUUAUUGAUUUAAAUUGGCAUAUCCCGAGACAGUCAAGACACAUAGGUAUUAACAAUUAAGCGGGCCCUUUCUAAAUAGAAUCAAAUUUCCUCUGUCAAGCCCAACAAUUGAUUUACGUAGCUUGCCAAUACACCAAAUAGUCCCAACGUCAAAAUUGCCCAUUCAUUUAUGGGUUAAUUUGAGAAACCUCCCCAAAAGUUCAUCCUAAUAUUAUUUAGCACUCUCAAAUUUUUAAAAAUCUUAUAGCAUAAUGUGACUGGAUGUCUCAAUUAGAGUCAUUGAAAUGACAAUAUUACCCCCAACAUUUUUAAGUAGCAAAAGGUUGGUAACAAAAAAAAUCCUACAAGCUAAAAUAUCUUAAACAAAUAACAAGAAUGCUAUCUAAAAUAUUUUUCUCCCUCUUUGUCACAAAAUUUUUUGCUUUUAAUGUUCGUAUUUACUAUGACCGAUCUCUGGUUAAUUACUUAGAAUAUCGAUAAAAGAAAAAAGUCGGACAUGUAUGGAUCUGACAAUGGGUAUAUAUAAAACUAUGGCUGCCGGGCUGUGUCAGCCCGAUUUGCUGCGGGGCUGACAUAGACUGGCAGCCAGCUAAUUUUUUUUUUUUAAAUUGUUUUGUGCUACCAGGUUGAUAAGGCCCGACAGCAUUUAAAAAAAAAAUUUACUGCUGCCGGAUAGAAGUAAGUAUAUCCAUCUGCUUUGUCCACAAAGGCUUCAUAGUUCUUUGGGAUCCCUGCAGACAGAGCAUAUAUCCACUUUGAGCAAUAACUACCAAGAGCCUAUGAAGCAUAUAGCCAAAAGUUUGACUUCAUAUUUUUUUAUCCCUUAUGUUUUAAAUAAUUAUAUUUCAAAUGAAAUAAAAUGUGAAUUAGAUUAAAUGCAUAAAAAAUGUGUUCUAAAUCUCAUUAAAAUCCUUAAAAGUAAUCCACAAUGUCAAAACAUAUUAGCCUAAAGAGCAUCUUUUCGUUAAAUUAAUUACCAACAAAUGAUAACACAUAAAUCAUAUAUAAAAGAAAAUUUAGUGGAAAAAGAAAAUUUUAAUUUGAGUAUAUAGUAAUUUUAGUUGUAAAUAGUAUAACACAAAUCGUUAUACGACUUGUGGAUAUGAGUUUCAAUCGGUUAUGAUCAGGCAUUAUGAUUAUAAUAAAAAAUAAAGGUGAUUACCAAUAUAAAGGACUCACAUGAAUUUUUAAAAGAUUUCUUGCCAUUUCUUCUUGUCUUUCCUUCAUAUUAAAUCAAAUAUUUUAAUAAUACAAUUUAAUGUAUUUAUAUUUAUGUUCAUCUUAAAUUGAUAAUUUUAUUGAAUAAUUUAAAUAAUUAUAAAAUCUUUAUUUCAAUUGAAACUUAAUUGACAAGUAGUUGAAAUGCCAAAAAAAGAAAAAGAAAAUAUUAUUCAAUCAACUCAAUGACAUAUAGUUGUUUGAUUAUAUUUGAUUAUAUAAACAAUUAAUUAUAUUUGAUAAAUUAAAACAAUUAAUUAAAUAUUCUAUUAAUUAUAUUUGAUUAUAUAAACAGUUAAUUAUAUUUGAUAAAUUAAAACAGUUAAUUAAAUAUUCUAUUGUUUAUACCAAUUGAAACUCGUAUAACGAUUUGUGUUAUACUAUUUACAACUAAAGUUACUAUAUACUCAAAUUAAAAUUUUCUUUUAUAUAUAAUUUAUGUGUUAUCAUUUGUUGGUAAUUAAUUCAAAGAAAAGAUGCUCUUUAGGCUAAUAUGUUUUGACAAUGUGGAUUACUUUUAAGGAUUUUAAUGAGAUUUAGAACACAUUUUUUUUGCAUUUAAUCUAAUUCACAUUUUAUUUCAUUUGAAAUAUAAUUAUUUAAAACAUAAGGGACCAAAAAAUAUGAAGUCAAACUUUUGACUAUAUGCUUCAUAGGCUCUUGGUAGUUAUUGCUCAAAGGGGAUAUAUGCUCUGUCUGCAGGGAUCCCAAAGAACUAUGAGGCCUUUGUGGACAAAGCAGAUGGAUAUACUUACUUCUAUCCGUCAGCAGUAAAAUUUUUUUUUUUAAACGCUGUCGGGCCUUGUCAGCCUGGCAGCACAAAACAAAAUUUUAAAAAAAAAAAAUUUGCUGGCUGCCAGUCUAUGUUAGCCCUGCAGUAAACCGGACUGACACAGCCCGGCAGCCAUAGUUUUAUACGUAUCCAUUGUCAGAUUCAUACAUGUCCGACUUUUCUUUUUUUCAUCGAUAUUCUAAGUAAUUAGCCCCGAUCUCUUGAAAUUUUCACUCUAAUUUCUUUCUUUGCUGCAAAAUUUUUUUCUCUCUUUACCACAAAAUCUUUGUUCUUAAAAUUUUUGCCUUUUUAUAAUGUUCAAGUAGUUUUAUAAGCUACCCUUGUAUUUUUUUUUUUUUUUUGGAGGACUCGAACCCAAGACCUCUUGCUUACACUCCCUCCCCCCGUACCACCCAACCCAACCCUCCCCCCUAUAAGCUACCCUUGUAUGCAUUGUUUUCUAGUUACGAAACGAAUAAAUUUAUCAUUUAUUGCACUCACAUCUUCUCAUAUUUCAAAUUUAAUAUUCCACCUUAUUUGUCUUUGUUUUCAUAUUUCAAAAUUCAUGUAUCAAACUGCAAAAGGGCAAAAAUGGAAAUAUAAUAUAAUCUCUUUACUCCAAUGCAUUCUUUAAUAUUACUUUUAUACAUAAGAGGUGAUAAUGUUACAUAAAUUGUCAUUUCAGGGGAGCUAUGUGAUAUUUUUGAAAUUUUAGAGGAGCUAGGUGAUAUUAGGAUAAACCUCAAGGAAGGUUUCUGAAAUUAACCCUUCAUUUAUAUUUGGUUUCUUCCGCCCAAACCUCAGUUGUCCAGUCACUUAAAUUGUUCCUCUUCACCGGCUCCGGAAUGAUAUAUCGGAGUAGCCCGCCGGAGUUCUCUGGUUUAUGAUUCCCUCCGUUUCCGACUCUGCCUCCGAUGUAUAUUUCUCAGGUAGCUUAUUAUUUUAUCCUGCAUGCAAUUUAAAUCUGUAAAACUUCGCAAAGAUUUGGUGCAUGGCCUAUUUUUUCUUACUCUCUCUUCGUUUUUACUUGUAUGGUUUUUCCCCUAUUUUUGACAUUUGACGUUUGUUGGUGUUUGAAAUUUUCUUUUUUGAGUUGCCAGCUGCAGUAUUUUUUGCAAGGUUGCUGGCUUUGAAUUGAUCUGGUUAUUAAUUUGGUAAGUACUUUGGAUUGCAACUAUUGUGCAUAAUAACUUCAAAAUUCUUCUAUGCACUUCAAUUUCAAUAGUUUGAUAGUUAACGUGAUAGGUCUUUGUAAUUAUGACACAAAUUAAAAUGAAACUGGAAGGUUUGCUAUGGAUAAUCGGAGAUUAGUACUUAAUUGGAAUCGAUAAAUAGGUUUUAAAGAUGUUUUUCAUUACAUUUGGGGGCAAAAGUGGCAGUUUUCUGAGGACACUUGAGUGACAAAUUUUGUCUGAAUCUAUACAUGAGCGUCUUGUUUCUAGUUGUUUUUGUUGAUAUGCUCAAAAUUCUGUGCAUUUCGCAACAGUGGAGGGAUCCCAUUCGUUUAACUACACUUUUGCUUUGCACAUUGUUUUAAGUACAAUUGAGUGCUAGGAAUGUAAGUGUAUGAAUAAUUAAUUGAGGACACUAAACUUACAAGAAAUUGUUGCGGCUAUCACCAAUUUGAGAUCGUGUGAGAGUUCUUUGUUUUGGGAAGGAAUUGCUGAAUAUAUGUUUUAAGUUGUGACACAUUUAUUGAAGUCGCUUGUGGAAAAGUGGGAAUGUGUUGAGCUGUGACAGAUCUUUGAUACUAGGUUUGAGAUUUUGAUUUUUCUAAAAUUAGCAUUAUAUAUCUAUGGUUAUAAGCAAUGAUUAAUGCUCGUGUUUUGAAGUUUGUGAAUGGGAGUUUCCUCUGCAUUUCUUUGUCCUGGUUUGGUCAUGUACAGUUUAUUAGAUACAUAAUCUCUCAUAUAUGAAAUGCGAGUCUUUGAUGUAACUUUUUUCCAUCUUGUAGUUCACAUAGUUAUGGCACUUUUCAAAAUUUGGUCACAACUGAAUUGUCACUCUCAAACUCAUGGACUGGAUUUACACUUUUACGAUUAGAGGCAGAACGUUAAUAUCAUGAACUGUUUAGGGAAAAAUAUGUUGCACUGAGUAGUUGACGUUUAUCCGAGAUGCUUGGUGGCAAUAAGUUAAUGCACCAGCUCAUGCAUUUGGAUGCUUUUAUUGUUGUAAUUAUACAUUUUUCUAGUAAUAUUUGGUUAUAGAACCAGCACUAACCACCCGUUUGGUUGGAGGGUUUUGCCCUCCUCAAUGGGAAUGAAAGGGUAAUAAAACCCAUGCAUUAUGUUUGGAACACCUCUAUGGGAUUGGUCAUUACUCGCUUUUGGGUCUUCCAAUCCCAUAGAUUGAUUAUAGAGUAAAUUGGGGACCAUCAACCUCAUCCUCUGCUUAGCGCAUUUUAAAGUAAAAAUAAAUAAAAUAUUCCAUCGAAUUAAACCCAAGAAGGGGAGAAAAAGCGUAUGCCAUCUUCUUCCCUCUCUCUUUGUGUCUUCUUUCUGCCCCUUGCUGGCCAUCCUUCCCAAGCUCUUCCACUCUCUCUUUUCUUCCCAUGCUUAUAGAUAUGAUAAUAAGUUGGAGCCGAAAGAGAUUGAGAUGGCCAAUUCAUCCACAUAAUUGAUAGUGGAUCUCUUUGGUUUCUUUCACUUUUCAACUCACCAUAUGAAUCAGCUCUGCCCUCUCCAACAAUUAUUUGACCACAACUUCCCUGCAGAUUCCAUUCUCACCUUCUUCAGAUGGUCCCGAGAUGGUUUCCAGGUUACCCAUCCUUUACAAUUUUUAUGCAAGUUAAUAGCUUUACUAGCAAAUGAUAAAAAUAACCCCAAAAAAGUGCGAUCUGUAUUGAUAGUGGAUCUCUUUGGCAGUCGAUGACUCAUGGAUCUGCCCAUGAAAUUUGGAUCUUUAUCAAAGAAAUUGUUGUGCUCCUAAGAGAUGAUUUGGUCAGAAAUAGUUCAAGGAAAAACAAUGGCUUUGGAUGUUAAGAAAUUAGGUUCUUGAUUUUUGAUGAAAUGUUUGGAAACUAACAAAGAUUUUGUUAGUGUGGGGAUCUGAUUUAAGUGCUUUCGCACUUUGUGAGCUUUGAUUGAGAUUCAUAUGGCGAAGGGAGUGGGUUGAUGGCAACUUUGCAUGUCAAAUCAGGGUUCUUCUUCCAAAUUAACAUGGAGAAGACGGGAAGAAGGACAGAAAAAGAAAUAAAUAAUUAAAUAAAAGUAUGGGAUAAGCGAGUACCAAACAUCAGUAAAGGGAUGCAGGAAUCUUGAAAAAAUCCAUUAUCAUUGUAGGGGUCUUUGAUAGUGAUUGUCAUUGCCAUGAUCUAGUAGAAACCGAACAGUUUGUAAGAUGCUAAUAUGUACUGUAUCUGGUGAAAAUGUAUCACCACGGCUGGCUUUUACAUCGCUUUAGUGCCAAUUUGGGAUCUACCUUCUUAUUAAUUGUCUUGCUGAAUUGGAAUAUUAGAACUUCAUCUAAAUAUUGCCUGUAGUUUGAAAGCCAUACUGGCUGCUUUGAUUCAUUGAUGGUUUCUUUAAAUUUUGUUGUAGUUUAUUUUUAACCAAAGUCUUGAUGUAUCAACACUGAAUUUAUUUAGAUUUUCUUAGACCUGAUUUCAAAUUGGCUCCUAUUUGUAAUAUCAGCUUGAUGUGAAAGCAUGCAUAAAUUUUAUGGCUCGUUUGUGUUAUGGUUUGCAGUUACAAAUAUGGAGAGGCCAAGAUCCUCUCCUGAGCAAGUCAACAUAUUAUCUGAUGAUUCAUCUUCUGAUGACGGUGCUGGACCAGAAAGUAAACGGCUACGAACUGCUGCAGAGAUCCCUCAACGAGCUUUACAGAUAAUACCUGAAGGUAUUUAAAUAAUUAGGUGCCUUUCGCUCCCAAGAUGCUUGUAUUCUAGACAGGAAGAGACAUAUCUAUGCAGUCUCUCUUCACUUCGCGCUCCCACCCAUGCCCCACCCUAUGUUCCCUCCACCACCUCGACUUCCCCUUUAAGAUGCAUGCUAAUUUGCUACUUAUAUUGGCAUAGUCUCUUGUUUCACCUUUUCUUUACCACAAAUUUGGUGGUCAAUUUGAUAAGGUUAGAACUCUUGUGGUCCUUGAUCUACAGUACAUUGGCACCAAUAUAACAUUUAAAGUAGCCUUGGGUUUUACAUUCCAUAAUAUGGAAAUAUGCAGAUGGUUCACUGACCGUGGCUUUCACUGACCUUGUUUAGCUGGCCUCUUGUUUUAAUGUGUUGUUUAUUUACAUUUAACUCUAUGUUGAAGCUAGAGAGAUGUUGUGACUGGAGACCUUUAUGAUACUAGAGAUAGCAGCGGAUACCUUUACAUGUGGGCUUUUUAUGCUUGAUAUAUCAUAAUUUUGACACUGGAUAUGGUAGUAUUCUGUCACCUUGUGAUCUUGUGCAUUCUGUGCUGCUUUCAUUAGUGAAUUCUAUCUGUGUAAUAAGUUGUUUUUCUGAUUAAAUAGAACGUAAUCAUUCCAUUGCCAAGCAGAUGUGAUGCUAGGAAAGGCUCAAACGUACCAAGAAUACAUGAGACAGAUUCCUAUCCCCUUGUUACGUGGCUCUGUUGUUCCAUUUACUUCUUGGACUGGAUUGGGCACAUCCCUUAAGCAACUGUAUGGGCAACCCCUGCAUUACCUCACCAAUGUGCAUCUGAGACAAUUGGACAUAUUGAGAAUUGGAGCAGAAGAUGAAGACAGGCCACUGGAUACCAUAAUUCCGCCUCCUAAAGCCGAAGCCAGCAUCUGGCUUAUUGAAGAAGUUCACCGGCUGUCCUCUUCACAUCAUCAUCUGGCUAAACUUUGGCAUAAUGAUCCUUUGCAUCAUAUUUUUAUUGAUCCCAUUUUUAUAGAACUGCAGAAGCCAUCUCGUUGAGCUCCUAUGGUGCAACAUGUAUUGUAGAUUGAAAGUUGUACAUUCCUGUAGUUUACUGGAGAUGAAUGCCCUUAGACAGUUUGAAAUACUCUGUGUAUAUCUGUAGACCAGUUUUAAUUGCUACAGCGUUGAGGCAAAUUUGUCAGUUUGAAAUCGGCGAAUCUCGUCUCCUUUACCAUGUUUUUCUUUUUGCCUACGAAGUGAAUUUGAAAUACUUUUAGCCUUUGCAACCACAUUUCUUUUGCAUAGGAAAAUUUGAACUCCCUUUUAGAGCAUUUCCAGCUGUAGCUGUGGAAAGGAAAAGGAAAUUCGUUACCCCUUUUUGUUGCGUUGUCACGUUAAGAAUUUGUGUUAGUUUCACGGGUCUUUUUACCCCUUAUCCUAAUGUACUCUAGAUCUCUUGUUUAGGUGAAAGCACAAAAUUUCUCCUGUUUAUCUUGCUGCCUGAUCUGCACAAUUUCAUUAUUGCCAGCAGUCCUAAGGGAAACACAUCCAUUCUAAAAUGUAGUCUUGCUUUCCAAUGUUAUACUCAUUGUUUGACUUUGAAAAGACCCGAAAACCAAGCAAUUGGUUAGCUAAGUACCAUUUGCUAAGAAUAUUUUCGGCUAAAUGUAGAUUAUGCUUGUUUUGUUUGGUUAACCAAUACAGUCGACCCUAUUCCACCAAGUACUAAUUGGUCAGCUAAGUAUCAGGAUUCGUUACGAUUACUAAUAAUAUUGUUGGAUUAGUGUAAUUUCAGCCGAAUCGUCAAUGGACAAUCCAUGCACAUACCUAACUAGGUUAUGAAACAACCAAGUGUUGAACUUUUAGCUCAGUAGCUAUAUAAACAGUAGUCGCACUGGCCAUUAGAAGUGAUUGGUAUUUUUUCUACUCUAAUUUUUUUUCCAAAAUUAAACUCAAAUGAGAAUUAAUUACUUUGAGCAAUGGAGUAAGAAAAUGAUUAAUUUUAUAUACACUGAUACUGUAUACAAUAUCACCGUUGAAUUCUUUUUUUUUCAUGCAACUAAUCUAAAUUUUAAAUUGAAAUUCAAAUUUUAUAUAAUUGUCAAGCAUCCAACUGCAAUAGUAUACUGUCAGUGUAUAUAAAAUUAACUCUUAAUAAAAAAAUAAAACUAUGAUUUUAUUAGGGAUUUUUUAAAAGUUAAUUUUAUAUAUAUAUAUACUGACAAUGUAUAUACACUAUCAUGAUUGGAUGCACGACACACAUGCAAAAUUUGACUUUCAAAUUCAUAUUUAAAUUAUGUACCAUAUAUCUAACGGUGAAAGUAUACAUACUGUCAGUCAAUCAGUGUUUUUAAUCCCUUUGCCAUAUGAUUUUAGUAAUACUCUCAUAGGGAAAAAUGCACUUUUCAUCCUCAAAGUUUGGGGGGUUGACCAAUUUCAUCCUCAAUGUUUAACCCCAAACACAUUUCAUCCUCAAUGUUCCGUAAUUUUGACCAAUUAAGGACAAUUGACGGGAAAUAUCCAAUUGACCGUUACAACCAACGGUUUUACCCAACAAAAAAUGGGUAAAACCGAAUGGAGCUAACUUUAAAGGAACAAAAUGCAACGGACGGACGAAAAGCUCCAUUGUUGUCCUUUUUCCCUCUGCCCUUCAACCCCAAAAUUUUCUUGCCAAUCUUUGCAGCUUUAAAUAUUCAUCCUCAGAGCAUCUGGCAGUGGAGCUCCCUGUGCUCUCAUUUUUGGCUAAAUGAGGAGCAGAAGUUCUGAAGUCUCCAGUGGUUCAUCAACUCCAUUCUGCAAGUGUGGGUUAAGAACAAAAAUGAGCACCUGUUGGCGCGGCGAGAAUUCGGGAAGAAGAUUCCUUGGUUGCUCUCUGUGGCCGGUAAGAAAUAUUUGUCUAAAAAUGUUGGUCCUUCAAUGUGUUAAUUUAGCUAACUAAUUUCUGAGAAAUGUCAUUAUUGUUAUGGUAGAGACCCGAGAGAUGCAGGUACUUUGAAUGGGUUGAUGAGCCAAUUUGUCCAAGAGGGAGAGUUCUCAUUCCUGGUUUGCUGAAAAAGACUAACAAAAUGGAAGAACAAGUUGAAAGAAUGCGUAAGAGGGAGAAAUUUUUAUUAUAAUAAUUGUGCUUUUGGUGGUUUUGCUAGUACUGAGUUGGAGCAGUAAAGGCGAGGAAAAAGUAAAGGGAGGCAAGUUGCUGCUAACACUGGAGUGAUUUUGGUAAAAUUGCAGAAGAAAGAACAUUUUGAAGCUGGCUGUGUUUCUUUGUUGGAACGAGAGUUGCAUUUUUUCCUAUGAAGUAAUAUCCAAUUGCAGGGUAUAGAAAGGGACUUAUUUUGUUUGUACAAAGGUUCCAAAUGAACUCUGCAAUUUAUGUAAAAGGUGGGAUUUAGGAAGGGAAAUGUAUCUGGCAACAAUGCAAUUUAUGAACUCUGUAAUUUAUUUUAUUUGUAAAGCUAUGCGUUAAGUGUAAGAAAAUGGUCCUUGUCAAAGUGUUGUUCAUAUCAUAAAUAUAAAAUGGCCAUGAACUGAUGUCCCACAUGUAUUGAUAACACAAACAGAUGCAAAUAAACCACGCUGGAAAACAAAUGCAAAUAAACCAAACUGGCAACUAAGCUGAUAAACCAAGAUUGUCCCACAUGUACUGAUAAACCAAGUUGGAACAUAUAAACAGCUGCCAUAUCAUAACUUCAAUACAAUUAAAGUGCAUUCUCAAUGAAAUAAAGCAAACUACAAGACUGUUGUUGAACAUGGGUCCAUAAAUGAAAUAAAGCCAGCUAUCACAUUACAGCUUGCACUUCCAUAAUUACUAGGCAAAGCAAAAGUUGAAACAACAAAAGUCAUUCACUAAUUACAAAAGCAGCAACUUGGCUUGAACAAAAGCAGCUUGGCUUGAAGAAAAUUCAGUAUGUUGUUUCUCCUAUCACAGUAGUUUCUCCUUUCCCUUCGAUCUAGAUGAACUAGGAACACUUAAAUCUGCCUUGCCAGCAGCAGCAACAUGCAUAUGAACAUCUCUAAUCCUGAAUCCCACAUGUACUUGUUCUUUAGUUUGUGUUCUGGGUUCCUUGGUGCUAUAUUUCACUUGAGACCUUGACAGCCCAAACACUUCGAACAUAUCCUGGUCUACUUGAUCUGGGGCAGAGGAUGUUAUGUCAAUCUCAACUAGUGGCUCAGCAUCCUGUUGAUGUUCAAUGUUUGAAUCAUCAUUACAAACUGCAGCUGCAACUCUUCUUGUAUGUCUAUGUCUCUUCUGCACAAAACAGUGAGGUAGCAAAAAUCAAAUUGCAUAAAGACAGAAAAAUCAAAAGAUGUAGCAGGUUUUUUUACCCUUUUAUUUGAAGACUCAGCAGCAGCCUUCUUGGUUUUCUUUGUUCCCUACAGUUUAAAAGGAAAACAUGUCAUUUAUAUAACAAAUAUCAAAGAUAGCUGUAACAAGUCAUCAAAACAACUUACAACUUUUUUUCCAUCUUGGCUAGCUGGAUUGUUGGUAGAAGCAGCAACUUGGCUUGAACUAAUAUCAGUUUCUGCAACUGCAGGAACUUGAGCAUCUUUGAGAAGCUUGCAGGACCUCAUAUUAUGUCCCCUUUGAUGACAGUAUCUACACUUGUUAAUCUGUCCCACUCUUGUCACCUUCUUCUUAGUUUUUUCCUUGGCUUGUUGAACCUCCUCUGCACUUCUCCUUCUCAGCUUCUUAGGCCUUCCAGGUGCUCUCCCAUAUAAGGGUGGUAAAGGACCUUCACCAACAUCAGUAAGCCCCCAUUCACUUUCUCCAUUCAUGGGACACACUGAUCCUUCAUAGCACUUCAUAUAUGUCUCCACUGUAUACCAUUUUGAAACAUAUAGCAGAGGAUCCUUUUUAGCCAUCCACAAUGCAGCAAUGGCAUGGGGACAGGGAAUACCUGUUAAUUCCCAUUUUCUGCAAGAGCAUGUUUGCUCCUUGAUGUUCACUGCAAAUUGGUCACCAUAUGGGCAACUGACUUCAUAAAGAUCAUCAUUUGACUUGAAUGGAAAACAGUCAGGUGCUCUAUCUACAUUUUUCUGCAUAAUGUGAAGAAUUCUGGGGCAAUAAGGAUAAGUCUGCCACUUCUCUUUGGCCAUAUCCCUAUUUUUUUGCAUUCUCUGCAUCAUGUACAACCGUAUUGCUUCAAACAUUUCAAUUAUUGGCUUCUCCCUAGCAUCAAGAAUUUUGCUGUUGAAGCACUCACAGAUAUUAUUCAAUAACAUAGCACAUUUAGGAUGAGUGCUAAAAUAAGCUCUGCUCCAUUGACUUGGUGGUUUGCCAUCAAACCACCUGGCUGCCUCUAUAUCAAUUUGAGCCAUUGCUUCCAUUCUGCUAAUGAAUUGAGCUGGUGUUGUUGCUUUGGCAACAGUCCAUAACGCUCUCCUCAAACCUUCUCCUUUGAAACCAGCAGAUGAAAAGUUAUUGUGCAAGUGUUUCACACAAAAUCUGUGGGCUGCAUUUGGAAAAAUCAUAUCACAUGCUUCAAUUAGACCUUUUUGUUUGUCACUCAUUAUUGUCCACUCAUAAUCCUUUUCAAUUUUCAAAUCUUCUUUCAAUAGUUUGAAGAACCAGCACCAUGAGUCCUUACUUUCACCCUCUGCUGCAGCAUAUGCUAUUGGAAAAAUGCCAUUAUUAGCAUCAACUCCAACAGCUGCUAGCAAAACUCCUCCUACUGAUCCUUUCAAAAAAGUACCAUCUACUCCAAUAAAUUGCCUACAUCCAGUUAGGAAACCAUGCUUCACUCCAGCAAAACAAAUGUACAGCCUCUCAAAUCUGCCUUUCCCUGUUUUUGAGUCUCUAAAGCCAUCAACAGUUUUCAUUAUAACAGUGCUACCAGGGUUGGAUCUUAGAAUUUCAUGCAUAUAAACUCCUAAUUUGCUGUACUGGUCCUUUUCACUGCCCUGAACAAUUUUCAUUGCUUUUCUCCUUGUCCUAUAUGUUUGAUUUUUUGUGAAGGAGCACCUAUUUUCUUUCAUUACUGUCUUCCUAAAAUGCUCCAAAUCUAAUUUAGGAUUACACCUAAACUCUUCACAGUACUUCUUAGCUACCCAUCCAGAAUGCACAAGAGGGUUAUCAUAUGUAAAACCACAUGUGUGAUUAUCUUCAAAUGUUCUUAUUUGAAUAGUUCCAUCCCCACUUAAUUUUCUAGCAUAUAUAACCCAAUUACAUUCACUAUUUCUGCAUCUAGCCCUCACCCUCACUCUAUCUUGUUUCACAAACUUACAAGGCCUGCCUUGUUUCACACUAUAAUUAUGUACAGCAGUCUUGAAAAGUUUCAGACUUGUAAAGGACAUAUACAGCUCUAAUUUUGGAUUGUCAAUAUGCUUAGGAUCAAAACUACGAGACCUCAAUUUAGACUCUUCAUCAUCAGACUCAUGAAUGCUUUCAAAAUCAGAUUCAGAAUCAGGAACCUGUUCUGUUUCAUCAGAAUCAGGAACCACCUCUGCUUCAUUCAAAGGAUCAGGAACCACAUUUUCUUUCCUGUGAUUAUCUACUCCCAACCAUUCAGCAUUUUUGUCAACAUUAUCAUGAAAUAUACCAUCAUCAGCAUCAUCACCUAUUUCAUAAUCUGAAUCAAUAGCUGAAAAAAAAGUCUCAUCACUUGCGUCAGAAUCAUUAUCACAAUUAUUAGCAGCACACCUUCCUUGACCUUCAUCCCUAUUCUUAUUGUUACCAUCACCAUUUUGGAGUUCAUUUUCUGUCUCAUCUACCUCAUACGGAUCAUAACCAAGUUGUUGCACUAGAAUUUCAUGAAAAGAUACUUCAAGAUAUAAGUUAACUUCCUUAGUUGGUCCAACCUCCCCCUUAACAUAACCAUUUAACUCCCUACUGCUGUCUAUCCUCCUAAAGGUGUUAUUUUCCCAACCAUAGUACACCUUAUGACCAUAUACACCAGCACUCUCAGUUAAUCUAUCCAUUUCGAAAACACUUAGACCUAUACUCUCAACAUAGUCAAACAUACACAAAUCUCCACCUUCGUAAUGGGGAUCAGGAGCAUAUGAAAUGAGGCCUCCAUGGUGACAUCUUAAUGUAAUAAAUGUGCUGCCCGUUUCUGGUUAAAGAAAAUAAUAUAGAUCAGACUCUUCAGGAAAAAAAAAUGCUUCAUCAUUUCAGCACAACAAGUAGUUGACCCACACAAAAACUACCAAACAAGGACCACUUUCACUUUUUCCAUACACAUGGCCAGAUACACAUGGCCGGCAAAAUCUACCAAGUAUUAUUGUUUAUUAAUCACUCUCACCACAAAUUUAUAGUCAAUCGGCAACUAUCAUCAGACAUAAGGGACCACAUUCACACUAUAAUAAUCAAACCAAGACAAAUUUUUUGCUUUAUUUAUACCUCAUGCAAAUGGCCAAAUCUGGGAAAAAAAUAGCCGUACAUUGUAGUGGGGAAACAGUACAAACACAAGGGACCACAUAUCAGGUUUCCUUCUCCAAAAAAACACAUAUCUUUAUGCAAUGUAGUUGUUGAUUUUGGGUAUAAAUACCGUAAUUUGGGGGUGGACAAAUGUGGAGCUCUUUCUUCCGCAAUGCCAUAUUUUUCUUCACCUAAAAUGCUCCACGGAUGCCGUCUAUGCCCUCCUUCUUGCUAGCAGAUGCUCGAAAAGUGGAUGGAAAGAUUGGCACAAAAAUUUUUAGGGCUGACAACGGAGAAGAAAGAAGGAGAAGACAGAAGCUUUUUUCCUUUCGUUUUGCUAUUUUGUGCAUUUUUGUCCGUUAGAAUAAAUGGGUCCAUUCGGUUUGACCCGGUUAUAUUGGGUAUAAAGUUCGAUCUAACGAAUUGUGCUUCUCACGUGCAAAGUUCCGUCCCAAUUUUUGAUUUGUCCUCCAAUUCCCGUCAAUUGUCCUUAAUUGGUCAAAAUUACGGAACAUUGAGGAUGAAAUGUGUUUGGGGUUAAACAUUGAGGAUGAAAUUGGUCAACCCCCCAAACUUUGAGGAUGAAAAGUGCAUUUUUCCCUACUCUCAUAAGUCAAAAAUCCUAUUUUACCUCACCACUUCUUCCUGUUAACGCAAGCACAACGAUGCACAGGAGAGCCACGGAAUGAUGAGUCAACAAGUAGUUGAUUGGCAUGAUUACAGGAGCAAGCAGUUAAGCCAAUCAACAUAAAAACAUAUGGUGUUGAGGAAAAAAAAUGAGUGCGACCUGUGAAUUGACUAUGUGAGGUGACGGUAAUGGUGGUUGAUUUUUCUGAUCAUGGGGAUGCUAUGCUACUAGUUCAUCUUACAUUUUCAACUUCUUCUAAUUUACGGUUAUAUGACCCCAUUCCAGAUUGGCGUUAGUUUUGAGCCAUGGAAGGACAAAAUAUUGAGCACUAUAAUCUUCUUUUUGGUAGCAGAUAAUAUCCUUUGACGGCAACGACUAAAGACUAAGGACAAAGAUCUUGUUCCCUAUCGUUUAAUUUGAUUUCUAUUGUAUCUAUACACAAAACCAAUCCGUCCAAUUGCCAAGUGUUUAAUUUAUUCUUUUUUUUGUGGUUUUUUUUUUCUUUUAAAGAAAGAAGGAUGGAAUUUAAAAUGUGAGAAGGGACAGAGAUUUGAAUUGAUGAUUUCUAAUUCAUGAGAUCUCGAUCUUAAUCACUAGGUCAAGAUGAUUUUGACAUUUGAACCGAUUACCUCUAAUUCAUGUGAUCUCAACGUUAGUCACUAGAUCAAGGUCUUCUUGAUGGCGUUUAACUUAUUAAUUGUUCACGUUAGUAGCUAAAGAGGACACAGCUUUGGAAGGAGCAAAAUCAUUUUGAGAGUUGAUGUCUUCAAGAAGUGGAGACGCAUAAAAAUGCUUUUCCAAUUUUCUUCUAUAUAAGUAUGUUAUUACGCACUUGAAUUCAAGUUGUUUCUGUUAUAGUACUAUGCUUGCUUUAUGACAUUUUUAGCAAAAAUUUGGGAAAUCGAAUUGUCACACAAGAUCUAAAAAACCUAAGCCCCCAACCUAUAUAAAAUGUUUCUCAUUGUUUUUCUUUAUUAUUAUUUUUAAACAUAUAAACCCCCCCAAAAAAAAAAAAAAAAACUCUUCAAGAGUGAAAGACCAAAAUGCAUGUUUAAUAGCUACGUGUUACAAAUAGUUUGUUCAUUAUCACUUAUCAGGCUAAUACUCACUUCAAAACAUGAUGAAAUAAAUUUGGAUCUUCACAUUUUGUAGAUAAAGGAGAAGUAGAACUUGACAAAAUCAAGAAGUUCCACUCUAGGAAUCUUGACUGUAUCCAUGGACGUUCAGAGUAGAAAAUGUGCACUAAAAUUUUCGUACAAUACUUGAGUACUAAAACAAAGAUAAGAUAGUGGGGUUAAAUUAAUCGUCCAUUGGAACUCUAAGGGUUAUCCUUUUGGAUGAGAUAUAAAAAAAAACCCAUAAAAAACCCUGAUUGGGUGUUCUGGUUGGUAUCCUGGAAUCAAGUAGAAAUGGUAAACACCAGCAAACAAGCGAUGACUUUGAGCAAAUUAUAGAGCUGACUGCAGAUGAACAAUGAUCCUAAGGGAAUUAAUGUAAUGUUUUCUUGAGGAGGGCCCUGGGAUUUCUAUAUAUAGUAUAACCCGUGUCCAUCAAGGUUUUUCUUGAAGAAACAUUUGACCAGCAGGAAGGGAUAUAAAGGUUCUAAUCAAAUCAUUAUUAACCAUUCCAAACAAGGAGAGCACGGUUUGUACGUCCAACCAUGGGUACCCAGUACCACCAACAAAAGAAACCCUCCAACCUUGAGCUAUCAACAUUAAUUCUGUUCAUGGGAUUAACAUAUAGAACCAAAAAAAAAAAAAAAAAAAAAAAAACCCAGUGAUUCAAGAAACAAAACAAUCAUUGAGGAUUGGAUGGUUACAAUAUUAAUGAACGAGAUUUGUCAUGUGGGACUUGAAUUGAAUGCAAGGUUGGAAAAUGAAUCAAGUUAUUCGACGCUCGAAUCGAGUUCGAUUUGGUAAAAACUCGUUCGAACUUGAUUCAUCAACUAGUCAAGUCAAAUUUAAACAUUGUUUUAUGUUCGAUAACAUUCAAAUUCGAUUUAAAAAAAAAACUUAUUCAAAUUCAGUUCGCAAAUAAACAAAUCAAAUUUGAACAAAAUUUCAAAUUCAUUAAAAUAAUCAAACAAGUCUAAACACUAGGGUGUUCGACUUGAUUAGAUUCAUUUACACCCCUAAUUGAAUGUAAAUGUGAUGUGAUCAAAUUCUCAUCUUAUUAUUAAUUCUUAAUGAUUGAUCUUCUCAGAGGGUCGAUUGUAUAUUUCGCUCGAGUUAUUUUUAGAAAUGGUUCUUGUAACAAUUCCUGUCUACCCUCUACCGCAUAAAAAACAAAAAAAUUGUGUUCAAAUUCUGCGCUUUCACCAUUCCUUCUUCGGUAGAGAAUUAGAGAUAUGUAGCUAACCUUGUCAAGAGACAGCCAAAGCUUGCCCAUAUUAUACCCGGCAUCUGACAUUAAUAUAUGCUUAGCACUACAAAUAAUGAGGCUUCGAACGUUUUUCUUUUUCUGGUAUCCUUACUAUUUUGCUGUCUAUGUCUCGAAACUGUGAUUAUGCACAAUAGCAACCGCAAAAAUUAUCAGUAACAUGCAUCUAGUAACUGGCACUCCCUGCAACUUCCUAAUAAACCUUUAAACCUGAUUCAGCAAGGACAGCCCUACGCAUUCUUUAUUCUAGCAAGUGUUUAUUUCUCAAUUCGACAUUUUCUUUUUUAAUUUCUCAAAACAACUGUCAAGAGAGAGGGAAAGUGUUCUUUUUUAAGAAGAAUCCUUAGCUGGUGUCUUUUCGAGGAGUUUCUUCAACUACCGAAAACAGGUGGAAUUUUACGUGGGAACUGUUCAACCUUUCUACCAAGGCAACAGAAAUAGUGGAAUUUUGAUGUUAGAAUCUCCGAAUGGUCUCUGUAGAUCCAGCUAACUUGUCACCUUAAUCUGCUAGGUGAUAAUUACUAUUACAUUCAUGUUUUUAGUUUUCUUGAACACUAAAUUAACAAACAUGCACAAGCAUUUUUUUUUUCUCCUCCUUCUUGUACGCGUUUUACCUGCAGAUUAGGUCUCACAAGUUGAGUUUUGUCUAAUUUAAACUGAUUGAUGUAAUUUUUACUAUAUUUGUUGUAAAUUUAUACAAUUUUAAUAUAAUCAUCAAUUUAAUUGUAUGAGUUGAUGAAUUCAAAUUUACAAUCUAAUUGCAUGAACUUACACCAAACAUUGUAAAAAUUAAGUCAAGUUUUUUGAAUUCGGUAAGCUCGACUUAUAAGGCGGCUAAUUCGUUGCUUGGUUGGGGGUGCCAUAACUUGAUUUGUCUCCACCCAACUUUACAAUGCAAAAGGCCAAGAAUUCCAUUAUUCUCAAACAUAAACAAGUAGUGCUCCUAGUAAAUGUAUUUCCUACUCUAUAAAAAAAUUUGAAGAAUUCCAUUUUACUAUCAAAUUAUGUAUAUAUAGCACUGGCGUAAUGCAUGCAGUGGCACCAAUCCAGCCAAAGGAACAUCACGCCACUUCUCUCAAACCUCAAAGGUGUACAGAAAACUUCCACAGGAACACUCUCAUGACUCGAACUCAUCUGAAACUUUCCCUUCUUCCCUGGCAGCACCUACUUCUAAUAGUACUUCUGCACUCAUGUCACCGGAGUCUUGGGCAGCAGCCGGCUGCAGCUGCCGCCACAACCACCAGAGGCCGGUGGGCUCUACUCCAAUCAAGCAUUGGUAUAUCAGCCAUGCACAUGCAACUCCUCAACAAUGACAAGGUGGUCAUUUUUGACAGGACUGAUUUUGGCCCCUCCAAUAUUUCCUUGGCCAAUGGCAAAUGCAGCAAUGACCCCCAAGAGCUAGCCUUAAAAGUUGACGGCACUGCACAUUCUGUCGAAUACGACGUCGCCACCAACUCCGUUCGCCCGCUCACAGUCCUCACUGAUGUCUUGUGCUCCUCCGGCUCCGUCAUGCCCGACGGCACCUUAGUCCAAACCGGCGGCUUCAAUGUUGGGGACCGCAACGUUCGAGUUUACAAGCCAUGCAGUUCUGGUAGUAUUGAUUGUGACUGGCAAGAAGUUAGUAACGGACUACUGCAGAGAAGAUGGUAUGCCACAAAUCAUAUUUUGCCCGACUCCCGCCAGAUCGUCAUCGGCGGCCGGCGCCAAGACAGCAGCAACUAAUCGGGUCUUUAAGUUGCCGUUUCUUGCCCAGACGAAUGAUCCUAACGUUGAGAACAAUCUGUAUCCAUUCGUUUUCCUAAAUGUGGAUGGAAAUUUGUUCAUUUUCGCGAAUAAUCGAGCUAUUUUGCUCGAUUACAAGAAAAACAUUGUGGUGAAAAACUAUCCACAAUUGCCUGACGGUAAUCCCAGGUGCUAUCCUAGUUCGGGUUCUGCAGUACUUUUACCACUAAAAAAACUUCAGGGGUCGGCCACAAAAGCCAAAGUUUUGGUGUGCGGAGGUGCACCGAAAGAUGCUUUUGCCAAUGCACGUAAUUCUUAUGAAAUCCUAAGUCAAAUGAAUCAUCCAUUUUCCUUGAUGUCUCUCUAUAAGUAUACUGCCCGAAAAGAGAAGUGCAAGAGAUCAAAUUAAUUGUUUGUGCAUCGACUGCAAUUUAUUAAAAUAGUUCUGCUCAAAAAGCCGCUUGAUUGUCCUUGAAGAAAAGAAUGAAAUAACAGACUUUUCUUUCCUCCCAAGGGGAAAGCCAAUUAGCUUGUCAAGAGGGGCUACUAAUGGAAUAUAUCAAGAAGCCUAUCGUGCUAGACUGCUAAAACCGACUGACGAUAGUUCAGAGUACGAAAUGCUACUUGUGCCAACUUCCAUAAAAGAAAAAAAGAGUUAAAAUGUGUGGCAUACCUGAAGCACACAUUCCUUUCUUUUCAAGAUAAUUCAGAAAAUAGCAAUAAUAAGUUCUCGUUCACAAACGAUUUGGUUGGCUGGAGAACAUUAUAGAUACGUAUAAUGGCGUUAGUUAGACGAAUUGAGACAGAAUGUGUUCGUUUAGUAUCUUGAGACAAAUUAAUAAUCUUUUUAUUUAGAUCAAAUGCUUGACAAAUUAAUACUAGUUUUUAUUAAAUAAUAAUUUUUUCUAGUCCUGACUUGGGUUAACUAUAUGUUGCACUGGACAGCUGACCUUUAUCCAAGAUAGAUGCUUGGGAGCCAUAAAAUCUUGUAGGUAAAAUAAUAAGUGGGUAAUGCAUCAGCUCAUGAACUUGGAUGGUUUUAUUGCUGUUAUUCUACCAUUUUUCCAGUAAGAUUUGGUCAUAGAACCAACACCAUGGAUGGUGCUAAUACGUUCCGAUUCCGAUGAAAAUGUAUCACCACUUGGCCGGACAUUCAAGAUUUCAGCUGGUUUUUACCUCUCUUUUUAUGCCAAUUUGAAUAAUUAGGUCCCUCUAGCCCACAAGAUGCAUCCACUCUAGGCAGGAAGAGACACAUCUGUGCAGUCUUACUUCAUUCACUUCUUGCCCCAUCCUAUGUUCCCUCCAUCACUCCAUCUCCACUGUUUCCCCUACCUACCUCAACAAAGCAAGCAGUGCAACCAGUUUUGUGUUGUUUGCCAACAUUCCCCCCCCCCCCCACCAAAAAAAAAAAAAAAAUCCCAACACACCAAAAAAAAAGUCUUGAUCGAUGUUUUGUAGAUAUCUUGUUUAGGUGAAAUCAUCUCAGUCCAGUAUCGUAUCGAAGAGCUCUGUUCCAGUGAUUUGAGACUUGAAGCAGAAGACGAUCGAAGACAGUCCACUGGAUAUCAUUAGAUAUCCCGCCUCCUAAAGCUGAAGCCAGCAUCUGGCUUAUUGAAAAAGUUCACACACCGAUGUUCCGUAGAUGUCUUGUUUAGGUGAAAGCACAAAAGGUUCUGUUGUUUAUCUUGCUGUUUCAUCAUGCUAGCAUUCCAACUUAAGUAAAAAACAUCCAGAUUUUCUAGACACAUAAGAACGUUUUGUUUUCGGCUAAGACUAAGAGAAUUGAACUUUGCAACAUAUUGGUUGGGUAAGUUUGGCCUAAGCAAAGCCGUUGUUCGUUGGUGACAGAAUUAACGAUCAGUAUGAUCUCUGAAGGCUGAGAGGAUUUUUGAGGUAUAUCUUUGUGCUCUUUUUGCGGUGAGAUCGAUGAUUAUCAAGUUUUUGGUUGUUGGAUAUUGGCAACUGACAUGAUCCUCAGUAAUCAGAUUACUUGAGAGCAGGAACCUCCUGAAGUUCGAUGCGUGUCCUUCAAAAGUACAACUUCAGCAUAACCAACUUCUGCUAAAAGGAAAGAAUAUAUAUAGAAUUAGUCUAGACAACGACUUUAAAAGCUCAAGAGGCACUGCUUGCUUCAGUGGAUUAGAGAGAAAACAGGCCUAAGAGGUUUGAAGGAAAACAAGCCCUUAUCAAGUUCUCUCUCUCUCUCUCUCUAUAUAUAUAUAUAAAAUCAAUCAACAACAUUUAUAUUAGACUAAAGGAGUGCUUUAACACCCAGACCUACCGAUGAAGAAGGGUUUUUAAAUUCCUUUUUUUUUUUAUUUAUUGGAAGCCACCAUCAUAGGAAAAGGGGGAUCACGUAUUUUUUGGGUUUUAUUGGGGUCGGGGGAGGGGGGGGGUGCAGGGCAUUGGAAUCACCAUUACGAGAUACAAAAGAUAGAGUAGAUACAAAUUUAUGUUUGAGAGACAGCUAACAUGAGAAAGUUUAUACAGAUCAUUAAAUGAUACAGAAACCUUAAAAGACUGCUCAGCGUGUCAAAUGUUCCUUCACACAUAUGAUGCUUAAAGACAGCUUUUACAAACCAAAACAUGAAAAUAGACUUGGCAUGCAGACACUGCUCCUCAUCUCAUUCUACAUAUACACACACAGCUAUCUCAUCUCAGACUCAUAACAGGCCAUGGUGUGACCCCAACAGCUGGAAGUGAUGGCCG
rnacentral:lncRNA from 1 species